CAGAGUAGGUACAGUGCGUUAAGUGCCAUCGGAUGGGAGGUUGCCGGUGGACGAAGGGACGAGAAGCCCGCGUUGCUGUGUCGCGUCCGCUGC
rnacentral:ncRNA from 1 species